rnacentral:tRNA from 1 species
ACUUAAAUAGCUUAAGUUAAAGCUUAAUAUUGAAGAUAUUAUGAUAGUAUUUAUACUUUUAAGUA